UUUUGGGUUACUUGCGGAGACAUUACAGAAUGAAAAGUGCUUAACUGCAUUUUUUCUUACACAUGUGUUUUUCUUUUUUUGAAAACUUUGCUUUGGUAGGCCUUCUAUAUGGGGCCUGCCAGAGAUUAAACUCAACCAAAUUUUAUUUAAUGUCAACCGAUUAUUUAAUAGUCAAAACUUUCAACAACGGAUCUCUUGGUUCUCGCAUCGAUGAAGAACGCAGCGAAAUGCGAUAAGUAAUAUGAAUUGCAGAUAUUCGUGAAUCAUCGAAUCUUUGAACGCACAUUGCGCCCUUUGGUAUUCCAAAGGGCAUGCCUGUUUGAGCGUCAUUUCUCCCUCAAACCCUCGGGUUUGGUGUUGAGCGAUACGCUGGGUUUGCUUGAAAGAAAGGCGGAGUAUAAACUAAUGGAUAGGUUUUUUCCACUCAUUGGUACAAACUCCAAAACUUCUUCCAAAUUCGACCUCAAAUCAGGUUGACUGCCCGGUUUU
rnacentral:rRNA from 1 species